UACGUAGGGUGCGAGCGUUAAUCGGAAUUACUGGGCGUAAAGUGUGCGCAGGCGGCAGAGCAAGUCGAGUGUGAAAGCCCCGGGCUUAACUUGGGAAUUGCGCUCGAAACUACUUUGCUGGAGUGUGGCAGAGGAAGGUGGAAUUCCACGUGUAGCGGUGAAAUGCGUAGAGAUGUGGAGGAAUACCGAUGGCGAAGGCAGCCUCCUGGGCCAACACUGACGCUCAUGCACGAAAGCCAGGGGAGCGAACGGG
rnacentral:rRNA from 1 species